GGCCGUGACAGCGGCUCCCGACGGGCUCACCUUCCGCGCCCCUCCCGCCAGAGGUGAGAGUAAAAUGUCCGUGUGAGGGUUCAAGGCCAAGCUGAAGUUGUUGGCCUCUAUCUUCCACAAGAACCAGGAGCCGCCGCCGCAGCUCACGCUCCACUGCAACAUCACGUCAGGUUUUCCUUGUUCCCGCAUGUUCAGCCAAUCGUGUUUAAGGAGAAACUAACAAUGAAAACGGACUCGUUGAUGGAGGAAAAGUUGGAAUGCAGCCUCUGGUGCUGUUUGAGCGAUCCCUCUAUCCCGGGUCGCUGCUGUGUUCUGGAAAGGCGCAUUGUACCCUGGAUGCAGCAGGAAUCCUAUUCAUCUUCUUCACCGAUAUGGUCUGUGGACUCUGAUGAGCCAAAUCUGACAUCAGUUCUGGAACGUCUAGAAGAUACUAAGGAGAACAGUUCGAACCACCUGGAGGUGACUGUGGCCAUGGCUCUGACUGACAUAGACCUGCAGCUGCAGUUCUCCAUGUCCCAACCCGAAGCCCUCCUUCUCCUGGCAGCAGGCCCAGCUGACCACCUCCUGCUGCAGCUCUACUCUGGACACCUGCAGAACACAGAGCAUCUGCCUGGGCUCCCUGUCCCUGAACAGUUAGCCUGGCUUCCUUCAGUGACCUCGAGAAACUUUGCCAAACUUAGGGGGACUGAUCAACGGAUUCUCAGUUACCCAUUAUUCCAGGGGUGAAAUCUAGAUUCCAAGACAAUAUUUCUGGUGCUUCUCACUCAAGGAAAGAGGAGGAGAAUUUAAAAAUACAGGUUGGGUUUCUAGAA
ensembl:lncRNA novel transcript